CGGUCGAUCUCAGCGAUCGGCGGAGGAGGAUCCGGGUCGAGCCAAUCCAAUCCAGAGGUGUGAGUUGCGGGCGAGGGAGAGACACCUGGUGUACUGGCCUAUUACCAUUCCUUCAUUUGCUUGAUGGCUGGUAAAGUCGCAAACCUCGCAGGUGCUAUGCGUUGGCAAUUGAUUUGAGCAUAUUCUGCAGCUUCCUAUUGUCCAUUCUUGUGCUCAGUCGUUCAUCAUCUGAAAUGACUUUUGGACAGGUUGAUGCUAUGCUUCAGGAAUUGGAAAAGGAGAUUGAUGAUGUGGAUGCACAAGUCAGAAACCGCUGGCAACUGCUUGAUAGGCUGCCAAUGUAUUGGAUAGGCCGAGCUGAAGGAGCAAUCAUCAAGCCACCCGCUCAUCAGGUGGUGGAAUGCCUGCUUGGUGGCUUCCCAUUCAUUCGCAGGAAUCAUCAUGUUCAACUUGGUACUGAGUUGAUCCUGCAAGCCAAUGAAGAUUCAGACGAUGUGGUUGCUCUGGAGGCUUGUGACUCUGGUUUGUGUUCUGUUAACAUGCAAAAUCUGGCUCAGGCAGGUGAUUUCGGGAAGGAGCAGGAAGCUGCUGUAUUGGUGCUAUAGCAGAAGAGGGGUGCAUCACGGGGGCAUUUUCAGGAUGCGGUUGAUUGCUUGAGGAAGUUAGCUCCCCCUUGGAUGGUGCAGUGCAGUGCAGCAAAUUGAAAGUUGAUUCAUUCAUUCUUGGGAGGAAUGAGCUUCUGCUAGCAAUGCUUGGAGGAAUCAGCUUAUCAAGUGCGAGACAGAAGACCCCCUCUCCUCAAGCAGUUUCUUAAAUGGGCCGUCCAACACGGAUGACUAUCGGGUUCUUCUCCUCUUUCCUUUUCCUUUUUUACCUCUUUUAUUUACAUUUCCAAAAUUGGAAAAAAUGAUAUUCAAAUUUUAAAGCUAAAACAAAUUGCAUUAAAAAAUGUUCGGGACAUUUAAAAAUGUUCACGCUCUCAAACAAACUGUGGAAUUUCAAGAAAAUGUUUAUAAAAUGUAAAAACAGAAUAUUCGGUCAACUUUUAUAAAAUGUUUGUACCAUUCAAAAAAAUGUUUGUGACAUUUAUAAAAUGUUCACAUAUUCCCAAAAAUGACUGUGACAUUCCAAGAAAAAGUUUGAACAAUUUUAAAAUGUUUGCGUAAUUUUAUAAAAAAUAUUUCAUAGCAUUUAAAACAUGCGCAUGACAUUAAAAAAUGUUCAAACGUUCCAAAAAAUAGUAGUGACACCUUUUACAAAACAAAUUUUUAUACAACCUAAAAACAUGGUCAUUUAAUAUAUAUUUUUUAAAAAAU